rnacentral:rRNA from 1 species
GGCAUGGCGCGUGCUAUACAUGCAGUCGACGCUUCUUUUUCCCCGGAGCUUGCUCCACCGGAAAAAGAGGAGUGGCGAACGGGUGAGUAACACGUGGGUAACCUGCCCAUCAGAAGGGGAUAACACUUGGAAACAGGUGCUAAUACCGUAUAACAAUCGAAACCGCAUGGUUUUGAUUUGAAAGGCGCUUUCGGGUGUCGCUGAUGGAUGGACCCGCGGUGCAUUAGCUAGUUGGUGAGGUAACGGCUCACCAAGGCCACGAUGCAUAGCCGACCUGAGAGGGUGAUCGGCCACAUUGGGACUGAGACACGGCCCAAACUCCUACGGGAGGCAGCAGUAGGGAAUCUUCGGCAAUGGACGAAAGUCUGACCGAGCAACGCCGCGUGAGUGAAGAAGGUUUUCGGAUCGUAAAACUCUGUUGUUAGAGAAGAACAAGGAUGAGAGUAACUGUUCAUCCCUUGACGGUAUCUAACCAGAAAGCCACGGCUAACUACGUGCCAGCAGCCGCGGUAAUACGUAGGUGGCAAGCGUUGUCCGGAUUUAUUGGGCGUAAAGCGAGCGCAGGCGGUUUCUUAAGUCUGAUGUGAAAGCCCCCGGCUCAACCGGGGAGGGUCAUUGGAAACUGGGAGACUUGAGUGCAGAAGAGGAGAGUGGAAUUCCAUGUGUAGCGGUGAAAUGCGUAGAUAUAUGGAGGAACACCAGUGGCGAAGGCGGCUCUCUGGUCUGUAACUGACGCUGAGGCUCGAAAGCGUGGGGAGCAAACAGGAUUAGAUACCCUGGUAGUCCACGCCGUAAACGAUGAGUGCUAAGUGUUGGAGGGUUUCCGCCCUUCAGUGCUGCAGCUAACGCAUUAAGCACUCCGCCUGGGGAGUACGACCGCAAGGUUGAAACUCAAAGGAAUUGACGGGGGCCCGCACAAGCGGUGGAGCAUGUGGUUUAAUUCGAAGCAACGCGAAGAACCUUACCAGGUCUUGACAUCCUUUGACCACUCUAGAGAUAGAGCUUCCCCUUCGGGGGCAAAGUGACAGGUGGUGCAUGGUUGUCGUCAGCUCGUGUCGUGAGAAGUUGGGGUUAAGUCCCGCAACGAGCGCAACCCUUUAUUGUUAGUUGCCAUCAUUCAGUUGGGCACUCUAGCAAGACUGCCGGUGACAAACCGGAAGGAAGGUGGGGGAUGACGUCAAAUCAUCAUGGCCCUUAUGACCUGGGCUACACACGUGCUACAAUGGGGAAGUAAAACGAGUUCGGGAAAUCCCGAAGGCUAAACUAAUCUCUUUAAAGCUUCUCUCAAUUUCGGAUUGCAAGGGUGCAACUCCCCUCGCUUGAAACCCGGAAUCCCUUUGUAAUCCGGGAAUACCCACCGCCCGGUGGAUACUUUUCCGGGCCCUGUAAAAACCGCCGGCUACACCCAAAGAAUUUGUUAACCCCCCAGACUUGUGGAGGGAACUUUUUGGAAGAGCCCCC